rnacentral:rRNA from 1 species
AGUGAACGCUGGCGGUAGGCCUAACACAUGCAAGUCGAACGGCAGCACAGUAAGAGCUUGCUCUUACGGGUGGCGAGUGGCGGACGGGUGAGUAAUACAUCGGAAUCUACUUUUUCGUGGGGGAUAACGUAGGGAAACUUACGCUAAUACCGCAUACGACCUACGGGUGAAAGCAGGGGAUCUUCGGACCUUGCGCGAUUGAAUGAGCCGAUGUCGGAUUAGCUAGUUUGCGGGGUAAAGGCCCACCAAGGCGACGAUCCGUAGCUGGUCUGAGAGGAUGAUCAGACACACUGGAACUGAGACACGGUCCAGACUCCUACGGGAGGCAGCAGUGGGGAAUAUUGGACAAUGGGAGCAAGCCUGAUCCAGACAUGCCGCGUGGAUGAAGAAGGCCUUCGGGUUGUAAAGCCCUUUUGUUGGGAAAGAAAAGCAGCAGGUUAAUACCCCGCUGUUCUGACGGUACCCAAAGAAUAAGCACCGGCUAACUUCGUG